AUUAGUAAAAUGACAAAUCAGAUUUUUCCUCCUGAUUUUUAACUUUUUCCUCCUGAAAAAAUUCAAAUCCAACUAAAAAUGAUAAAAAUCAGGAGGAAAAUUUUGAUUUGUCAUUCUUCAAU
rfam:Gossypium arboreum cultivar AKA8401 contig_166_21, whole genome shotgun sequence.